UGCUAUAUCUCUCAUUUUGCUUCUCCUGCUUGCAGUGGGAACAGAAGGUAUGAUGACUUAUCAGAAGAAUGGUUGUAAGUGCCGAAUCAUGUCUUCCAGCAGUAUACCGGUGAGAUUGGUGGCCAACUUUGAAGUCUUACCUGUCAGCCCUUCCUGCAACAAAGUCGAAUAUAUAGUGACACGGAAGGACUCAGGAAAGCGGCAGUGCCUAAACCCAACUUUGCCAGAAGUGCAGAUAAUGUAUAAAAAAUACCUACAUUUGAAGAAGACCCAACCAAGAUGGAGAACACCAAUAAGACCUCAGUAAUUUCAUCCAGGCAAGGGGUGAUGGUCUCCAUUGGAUGUCCUAGGCACGCCGCAGGAACAAAAUUGCCUCAACCAAAGAGGAUGGAAGCCGGUGGAAGUCUGUGGGCUUGUUCUGUGUGUUGUUGUUUUUUCAAACCCAUAUAUUUUUGUACACAAUAUACAAGCUAAGGCAUCAUACAAUUUGCUGGACUUCGUUAGCACGAUGGCUUAGCUGUCUAAAUAUAGCCAAACUGUGUUGAAUGAACCAAAUGAUGGUUAAACAAGUGUUUGAAGCCAGUCUGUUUGGGAGAGUCCUGUAGGUCUCCCACUUGGCUUGCAUAUCACACCAAGCAGCUAGUUUGAUCUGGGCUAAGUAAGUGGUUUUUAUUGAUCAAAUGUAUGUGUAGCAUGAUCCCACCCAUUCGUGUAUUUAAGCCAUCAUUCAUGAUUAAUGAACCAAGGCAAUUGUGAGCCUAAAACUGGAAUCAAACAAAGUAUGUAGGCUCCAGGUUUUGUCUGAGAGGUACUGCAAUCAAAGGUGGCCAGAGCAGUCAAACCUUUAAUCAUUAUUGGUGGGUUCCCAAAAGCCAUGCAAUUAAUUUUAGGUAACCAAGGACCUACAUUUUGAAGAUAAAUAUAUAUAUAUAACUCAGGGUUGCACUGUUGGGCUGAAGAAGUACUCCGAGUCAGUUUUCCAUGGCAGUUGCAAAUGUUCAUGGCUACAAAUUACAAUGAGCCAUGUUAUAUCCUUAGAGGUUAGAUUGGUUAGAUUGUAGAGGAUAGUCCUCUACAAAGCCUGAAGACCUAGAUGAGUUCACAGCAGGGGAUUUUAUAGUGACUUAAGCAUUGUUGUUGGCCUGCUGAUAAUCUUUGGUUUAUUUUGUCAGCAUCCCUUAUCGGUUCUUUAUGUUUCACUGACAUUGUUUUAUUGUUUUGAAUGUGUGGUAAGCCACCCAGAACCACAUCUGCAGAGUGGAUAGUUUGCACAAAUGAAUUUAAUUUACCACAGAAAUAACCAAAGAUUAAGCUGGAAUGAGAUCACAGCAUCACUCCUCUUUCUCAGUCCUGACAACAGGCCAGUCUUGUAGACAACAACUGCAUUUAACAGGGUAGCUCACCAAUGACAUGUAAUGUAAAUGGUACAUGUGAUGACAUGUAACAGAUAUUAAUAUAUUUUACAAUGGAAAAAUCCCAGCUGGUAGCAUUGCAGAUAUGGUUCAGCAAGUAAUGAAAUAUCUGCAAAUGGAAAACUUAAGCUCGGAGAAUACAGCUUUAUUGAAUAAAGUUCCUCAGUCUUGUUGAACUGCUUUAAAAUAUAUAAAAUAUAAAAAUGUGCAAGGAAUCCACUACGAUAUAUUCUUAAGACUUCAGAUAUGCGCCUACAUAUCUAACUCUUUCAAUCUGCUAAAGUUAAUAAUAAAAUUUAUAUUAUUCAUCCCACAUUGUGUGGGAAUUUAAAAUUAAGUCUUUUUCACUCCAAGAAAUCUGUAGAAGGAUUCAGUCCUCAUUUCUAUUUUAUGUAGCACAGGCAAAACUAUUUUCUCAUAAGUCAGUUCUAAAGAUUUGCUUCUGUUAAAAUGUAUUUUCAAAUAUAUGAAACAGGUACAUUUAUAUUGGAGAUGAUGAUGUAAUACACAUUUGAUCACUUCUUGAACUGUUACAGAUAUUGCUUACAGCUAUACUUGAAAAUGUAACUUGUUACGUGUACUCAGGAAAAAUGAAAUUAAUAUCAGGAUGCCUUGUAAACAUAUGCAUGUUUUAAAGAAAAUAAUGUAAAUUAAGUUUAGAAGAAAUAACUUUUUACCUAAGAAAAUAUAAAUUAUUCAAUAAAAGAUGACAAAGCACA